CCCUCAAGCGUAGCUGGUAUUGGGCGUCGUCAUCCUGCGGGGGACGUGCCCCAAAAUCAGUGGCGGUCCGGUGCGACUUCAAGCGUAGUAAAUCUAUCCCGCUUUGGAAGCCUUCGCCCCGCGGCCUGCCAGCAACCUUCACCAUCGUGAAAUUUUCAAUGAUUGACCUCGGAUCAGGUAGGGAUACCCGCUGAACUUAA
rnacentral:misc_RNA from 1 species